rnacentral:rRNA from 1 species
AAUAGAUACCCCGGUAGUCCACGCCGUAAACGAUGAGUGCUAAGUGUUAGAGGGUUUCCGCCCUUUAGUGCUGCAGCUAACGCAUUAAGCACUCCGCCUGGGGAGUACGGUCGCAAGACUGAAACUCAAAGGAAUUGACGGGGGCCCGCACAAGCGGUGGAGCAUGUGGUUUAAUUCGAAGCAACGCGAAGAACCUUACCAGGUCUUGACAUCCCACUGACCGGUAUAGAGAUAUACCUUUCCCUUCGGGGACAGUGGUGACAGGUGGUGCAUGGUUGUCGUCAGCUCGUGUCGUGAGAUGUUGGGUUAAGUCCCGCAACGAGCGCAACCCUUGAUCUUAGUUGCCAGCAUUUAGUUGGGCACUCUAAGGUGACUGCCAGUGACAAACCGGAGGAAGGUGGGGAUGACGUCAAAUCAUCAUGCCCCUUAUGACCUGGGCUACACACGUGCUACAAUGGAUGGUACAAAGGGCUGCAAGACUGCGAAGUCAAGCCAAUCCCAUAAAACCAUUCUCAGUUCGGAUUGCAGG